GUCCGAUGAUCACGGACCCGCCGGAGACUCUCAAUGGAGAGGCGAUGAGUCACAGCCAAGCGAACUUUCUCUGCUCCUGAACAAAUUGCUUCUCCUCGUCGUCCCACUCCAAACCUAGAGGUGGGACAACCCCAGCAUCCUGGGCGUGAACGCACCCAGCUUGAUUGUCACAUGGGGAAUAGAGACCUCGCGCCUGCCUGGCAUAGGCCAACCCAGUAAUGUUCAUUUAAAGCUGGCUUUACUAGUCCUUCUUCCACAAUGAGAGGUGACCCUUCACUUCACCGAGAAAGGAAGGAAGAAAGGGAGAAACAGGAAAACUUUGAAGAAUCUUCCAGAUUUGCCUAACGCAGAUGUGCAUGACCUGACAAGAUAGAUGUGCCAUUUGGACCCUUUCAAGAGCAGACAGAAUGGAAGGGAGGU
rnacentral:lncRNA from 1 species